rnacentral:tRNA from 1 species
AGGGGAGUAGCUCAGUUGGUAGAGCAACGGUCUCCAAAACCGUGGGCCGCGGGUUCGAUCCCUGUCUCCCCUGCCA